rnacentral:sRNA from 1 species
CUUGGUACUUAGAUCAGGCUGCCUGACAUAACUGAGUCUCAUUUUCUGUUUCGGAUACUCCCAGGUUCUCAUGCUGCUUCCCAUUGCCUCCCCCAUUAGAUGGUACCUAAAGUAAGAAAGCCAUUGACACAGAGAGGAGAGAGGAAGUGAGACGGGUCACAGACAAGUGACGGCCUAGUCUCCCAGCCCCCGUCCUGCCAUAGCAUUGUUGCCCUCCACAGUGCCUCGGGCUCUGACACGCUCCCUUCCCCCCCACCCCCGGCAGACUCUGGAUGGGCACAUGGUGGUGCGUAGCCAUGCCCGUGUGUCGUCGCUGACCCUGAAGAGCAUCCAGUACACUGAUGCCGGAGAGUACAUCUGCACCGCCAGCAACACCAUCGGCCAGGACUCCCAGUCCAUGUACCUUGAAGUGCAAUAUGCCCCAAAGCUACAGGGCCCUGUGGCUGUGUACACUUGGGAGGGGAACCAGGUGAACAUCACCUGCGAGGUAUUUGCCUAUCCCAGUGCCAUGAUCUCAUGGUUUCGGGAUGGCCAGCUGCUGCCAAGCUCCAAUUACAGCAAUAUCAAGAUCUACAACACCCCCUCUGCCAGCUAUCUGGAGGUGACCCCGGACUCUGAGAAUGAUUUUGGGA